rnacentral:rRNA from 1 species
AUGGAAGUGGUUUCUUCCAGUCACUCUUGCUUGGCAUUUCAUCAAACACCUACCAGUGCUCGGAGGUCUCUGGGCACUGGUCUUGGUCUGCGGCAUACCAAGUUUGCUCGGCCAAGAAAAAGCGCAGUUCUCUGUGUUGGGAGAGCUUCAAAUCCUGGUGAUUCAGGAAAGCUGCAUGUCAGCCGCAGCUUCGAUGUAAGCGAUGUCGAUGCUGCCCUCCAGGGCAUCUCCAAGAAGGUAGGCCAGAUCGAGAAAGUGUCCAUUCCUGGUCUGCCAGAAGGGCCAGACAGUUCUCAAAUCAGCACUGGUUUGUGGGAGUGGAAGCCGAAGCUGACGGUAUACUACGAGAAGUCUGGCACCAAGAAUAGCAAGGCGCCAGCAGUGCUUUUUCUACCAGGUUUUGGGGUGGGCACGUUCCAUUUUGAGAAGCAAUUGAUGGAUCUUGGCCGUGAUUACAAGGUGUGGACGAUGGAUUUUCUGGGACAGGGAAUGUCAUUGGCGUGUGAAGAUCCCGCUCCUAAGGCCAUGGCGGAGGAGGAUGAGGAAUCAUAUUGGGGUUUUGGACAAGAUUCACAACCAUGGGCAGAUGAAUUGGUGUACUCUGUAGACUUGUGGCGUGACCAGGUCCAGCACUUCAUUGAAGAGGUUAUCGGUGAGCCAGUUUAUAUCGUGGGAAACUCUCUUGGAGGUUUUGUUGCUCUAUAUUUAGCUGCAUCCAGCCCACACCUUGUAAAGGGGGUCACAUUGCUUAACGCAACGCCAUUUUGGGGUUUCCUUCCCAAUCCUGCAAGAUCUCCUCGUUUGUCAAAGAUUUUUCCAUGGGCUGGGACAUUUCCUCUUCCAUCAGUUGUGAGGAAACUUACUGAAACAGUGUGGCAGAAGAUAAGCGACCCAAGAAGUAUACAGAAGAUACUCAGGCAAGUAUAUGCUGACCACUCAACAAAUGUUGACAAGGUGUUCUCGCGUAUUAUAGAGACAACAGAACACCCGGCAGCUGCUGCAUCAUUUGCCUCCAUUAUGUUUGCUCCAAUGGGCCAGAUAUCCUUUCAGGAGGCACUGUCUAGGUGCCAAAGGCAGGACAUUCCCAUUUCCCUUAUGUAUGGGAAAGAAGACCCGUGGGUUACACCUUAUUGGGGUAUCAGAGUCAAGCAACAGGUGCCAGAAGCACCCUAUUAUGAAAUUAGCCCUGCCGGUCACUGUCCUCACGACGAGGUUCCUGAGGUUAUAAACUAUUUGCUCCGAGGAUGGCUUAAGAAUGUGGAGUCUGAGGGUUCAGUUGACCUCCCAUUUCUUGAAGAUUCCAGCUUUCAAGAACAUGGUGUGUCGAAGGAGCUGGAGUUUGUCAGGACAGGGUCCAAGAAAUCAGUUAGUGUGCGGCUCUUCGGUUCCCAAAUUUCCCUGUGGAGCCAACUGAGCUCAUUCUUGAAGCGGCAUGCCUCCAACAUAAGGGUAGUGUCCAGAUGA